rnacentral:rRNA from 1 species
UACGGGGGGGGUAAGCGUUGUUCGGGAUUACUGGGCGUAAAGGGCUCGUAGGCGGCCAACUAAGUCGGACGUGAAAUCCCUCAGCUUAACUGGGGAACUGCGUCUGAUACUGGAUGGCUUGGAUUUGGGAGAGGGAUGCGGAAUUCCAGGUGUAGCGGUGAAAUGCGUAGAUAUCUGGAGGAACACCGGUGGCGAAGGCGGCAUCCUGGACCAACAUUGACGCUGAGGAGCGAAAGCCAGGGGAGCAAACGGG